CCUCUCUCUAGGUAAACACUGGUCGUCAGUACAGAGAUUAGCGCCCACGGUGUCUCAGUCUCUGCAGGACGCUCAGCGGAGAGAGAAGGAAGAAGCAGACACGGUGACAGCCAUGGCGUCUCUCACCGUGGACACGGAGCAUACUGCGUCCUCCUCACAGAGCAGCAGGGCUGCAGAGGAGCCGAUGGAGGAGGAGCCCGUGCUCUAGGAAGGAAAGCGUCCCGCCCGACACCGUGGCGUCCACACCUGCUCAGCAGCGACGCUUGUCUCUGAGUCACUCGUCCUUUCCUUCCACGCAGCUCUUUGAUCAGUUCCUUCACUCGUUCUCCAGGUGCUCGAUGGCCGUACGCAGAACUCCACUCCACUCCCACCCGAGGAGGAGGAAGAGGAGGAGGAAGAGGACCUGGUGGGCCGCCAAACAUACACCCAGGAGCAGGACCCACUUUUUUUUUUCUUUCUUCGAAAAAAAAAAAACAAAACGAUUUAUUUCCCGCUCCUUUCACGGAACACGCGCACAGAGAGGACGCUAGGAUGUCGUCAUGGCAACGGAGCAGAAAGUGGAAGACAAAAUAAAUACAUUUCCUGAACAAGAAGCAUAAAGGUUUGGGUUCAGACGUGAAGGAGCUCAGAGGUUUUUAACCGUGUUGAAACUGACGAUCUUCAUGUAGACGUAAAGCACACAGACAUGUAUGACACACAUAAGUGUGUGUGUUUUGUAUUGGUCCGUUUGUGGAGGUGGAACCCGUGACCUCUUUCUGCGCUCAAGAAUGAUGACAUUCAGGAUGUUUAUUUCCUUUCUUUCUUUCUUUUUUUUUUUUUUUUUUUUUUUUUUUGAGUAGUCACAUAACUAUCACAUACACACUGAUUCACGCACAAGCACACAAGAAGAAAGCACACUGAUGAUUGACUUGCUGAAUCACUAACUUGCUCACAAAACAGCUGACUCACUGAUCCUGAUUCACUAACCCACCGGUGCGACUCGCAGAAUCACCGAUCGAUUCACUAAUUCGAUGAAUCGUUGACUCACUGAUCGAUUUGACUCACUUAUUUCCCUAACUGACUCUCUGUGAUUCACUGAAACCCUGUCUGACUCAGUUAUUUUUCUGAUUGACUCACUCUCUGAAUGAAUCACUGACUGAAUCGAAUGCAAGAUGGUUUUGGUAUUUGUUUGACAAGGGAACGUGGGCCGACUCGGUGCCUUUUAUACUAGAGUUAAUGUUUAAACAUCACACACACACACACACACACACACACACACACACACACACACACAGUAACACCUCUCAUGUUGACUUUGUUCGGAAGUUCCUCUCUGCCUUAAUCUCGUCAGGCAAAAGUGCCGAUUUCAGCCAUUUAGUUUGGAAGCUCAGACUCCUCCACCUGUUUCCUCUCCUCCGGUCAAAUCAGGGGUCAAAGGUUAUGUCGCGUCACCUCAGUGCGGCACACGAUCGCAUCGUGACGCUUCUCUGGUUUUCCGAUGAAGACGACGACAACAACGACGACGAAUAAGACGACCGACGACGACGACGAUGAUGAUGAUGAUGAUGAUGACCAACUCUCGUCUCGCUUUCGUGUUUUUUUUUUUCGUCCCUUGUACAAAAGCACACGCUCGUUUCUUUUCUUUUUUCCUUUUCUGUUUGUUUUGUUUGUUUUCUUUCUGAAGAUUUAAGUGUCUGUGGUCACUUUUAUAUGGAGAUGUUUCUCUUUUUUAUAAGAAAAUCGAACACACACACACACACACACACACACACACACACACACACACACACAGUGUUAAUCUGCUCAGUCAAUUUAAAAUAUUCUGGAUAAAGGUGUUUAAUGUCAUGCGUGUGGAAACAGUCGGUUUUUAUAUCAUCACACACACACACACACAAUUAGACGCGUGUGUGUGUGUGUACGUUACGUCUCGUCACCGCGCGAUGAACGCGGCAUCAGGGUUUUAAGGGCAGGUGUGAUUUUAUUUGUUGUUGUUAUUUGUGUUUGUUUGUUUUUUUUAUUUGGGGGAUUUUUUUUGUUCUUAAAAACACACAACACAACAGUUUAAAAGUUUUUUAUUCCAGAUGCAGGCAAUAAGGUCAGACACCACUGAGACGCUACGACUCACCCGUUCGAAUCACAGAGCUUUAUUUCUGCUUAUUUUUGCACCAGAUGAAUUUUAUUUUCGUAACGGUUUCUUGUUUUCUACGUGUUCGUGAGUGAAGUGCGUGUGAUUAUCACUUUCUUUUCUUCUUCUUUGUUGUGUUUAGUUUUUAGGCUGUGACAUUUUAGGCUGAUUUCAGUCCGUGUGCUUAUUAACUAACACUCGGUUUGUCGGAUCAUUACAGCAGCGUGUUGGGGGUUCGUCGGUGUGGGCGGAGCUUCUUCACCUGCCGCAUUUCAUUAAACACUAAUCCGUCUAAUGAGUUAAUAAUGAACACAUAAACACUGUAUACACUCUUAGGGAAUAAAACAACAAGUUGUCAGUCUUUAGGACGGUUCUGUGUUCCGUUCCUUUCCGGCUCAAUAGAAAGGUUCCGUGUGACAUGUUUUCAGGAACCUUUAACUACAUGAGGAACCUUUUUGAUGAACUUGUCAUCUUUGUUGUUGCGGUUUUGUGUGUUUUUUUACCGAGUGUGUGUGUGUGUGUGUGUGUGUGUGUGUGUGUGUGUGUGUGUGUGUGUGUGUGUGUGUGUGUGUGUGUGAACGUCGCCGUCUGAAGCUUGGGGACAACUUUGCAUUUCUUUAAAUUGUUUUCGAGGGAGUUCUUAACAGCGAGCCGAAGAUUUCCAGCACUGUGUAUUAACUCGAGCUCACAAACACACACUAAACACACUCGCACACUAAACACACUCGCACACUAAACACACUCGCACACUAAACACACACUCACACACUCUAAGCACACACACUCACAUACACACACACUAAGCACACACACACACACACACUAAACACUCAUACACACUCACAUACACACACUAAACACACACACUAAGCACACACAUGCACUAAACACUCAUACACACUCACAUACACACACUAAACACACACACUAAGCACACACAUGCACUAAACACUCAUACACACUCACAUACACACACUAAACACACAAAGCCUGUUAAAAUCAAAAUCAACAAAAUAAAUCAAUAAUAAUAUUAAUGUAUAAAACUUCAAAAAAAGAGAUGAUUUUAUUGAAACAUAAAGGUUUGAGAGAAAGACCAACUUUAGAUAGUGUGUGUGUGGGUGAUUGUGUGUGUUUGUAUGUGUGUGUGUGUGUUCAGUGUAUGUGUGAGAGUUUAGUGUGUGUUUAAUGUAUGUGUGAUUAGUGUGUGUGUGUGUGUGUGUGUGUUUAGUGUAUGAGUGUGUGUUUAAUGUGUGUGUGUGCUUAGUGUAUGAGUGUGUGUGUGUGUGUGUGUGUGUGUGUGUGUGUGUGUGUGUGUGUGUGUGUGUGUGUGUGUUUAACUCUUCUCACUUGUUAAAUUAUUUACACACCAGUUUAAAAUCUGUGUUUUUUUACUUUGUUCUUUUUAGAUAAUAAUGAUAAUAAUUCGUGUUCAAUUUUUCAUUAUUAUGGAUAUUCAUUUUAGCCGUCGCCUUUUCAAAUGAACCAAAUGUUGAGAUUAUGUAAUGUAAUACAUAUGUAAUGUAAUAUGUAAUACAUUUUAUGCUCAAAAGUUUGUGCCCCCUGACCAUCAAACCCACAUGUGCUUCAUCUGUCAACAUGUGAGUCACACAGUGGUACAGAACGUCUGUCUCUGUGUCCUGGAGAGCUUCUGAUAUCCCCAAACCCUGCUACAGCAGGACAUUGUCUCUGUACACAACGGUUGGAGUGAAGAACUCGAGUGUCCUGCACUGAGCCCUGACUCUGACUCAACACCACUGAACACCUCUGGGACGAACUGGAACUGGAGUCUCCUCGACAUCCCAACAUCAGAGUCUGAUCUCACUGAUGCUCUUGUAACCGAAUGAACACAAAUCCACACAAACACAAUCCAACAUCUAGUGAAAAACCUUCUGAGAAGAGAAGAGAAGAGCUGAUUAUUAUAACAGUGAACACGUGAGAAAUAAAUCAGGAACGAGACGUUCAGCAAGAACAUGUGAGUGUGAAGUUUGGGGUGCACAUACUUUUGGACAGUGUAUAUACAGACACUUUUUUGUAUACAAAAGGUCUGAAUGAACUAAGAAUGGAUUAAUAAGUGUGUGUGUGCGUGUGUGUUUUUCUCUCAUUCCUGUUACACUUUUAGUGUUUCGUCAUAAAAUCGUUCGUAAAAUAUCGACCGAGAGAAAAUCCCGUCACAUUAUGAGCUGAGAGCAGGCGAUGAAAAAGGCUUUAAAUACAAAGAUUCUGAUAUUUGAUGGAACACACACUUUAUUUUGUUUCCUAAUUGAAUUGCCAAUAGUGGAAAUGUGACGCGAUGCUCCCACCACCAUGCUUCACUGUGAGGUCUGGAGAUUUUCAGGCUCGAGCUCAGGAUCAGACUUUUUUCUGGUUACUAACAGAUCAUCUUUGUUGAAAGGCUAAUUGUCCCCUCGUGAUGGGUUCCUCUAUUGUACAUAAAUAUAAAUAUAAAAUGUUAAUAAAUCUUUUUACCUUUUUUUGGGGGGGGUUUGGGGAAAGACAGCGUGAGCUGAUUCCAGCGUUUGGCCUUCAGACCGGUGUGGAUCGUAUUGCAAAAGUUUUCUUGUCUUAAAAAAAAAACGACAACUCUGCAACCUCCCUGUUUCUUGAUUCUCUCCGCUUUAUUUAUUUGGAGUCAGAAACGAAGGGUUGCCUUUUUAUUUCCGAGACGUUUUCGCUAAAAACGUCGGUUUGUAAAUCUGAAAUAUUCGACGUGCGUAGACGAAAUCGGCCGGACGUUUCAUUCGCAACGAAAAUCUUUGUAUUUGUUUUGUUUUUCCUCCUCAGUGGUUAAUGGUCGUGGUUUCGUUUUUCACUUCGUUUUCAGUGCACACGUGCCUGCAGUCGCACACAGACACACACUCGUCGUGCGGGACGGAUUUUUUGCGAAACAGGGUGUGUUCGUGAAGGUCAGGCGGUCUUCAGCGCGGCUUUUCGACACGACGAACUUUAUGUAUUUACGUGUGGAAGCAGGCAGUACCGUGUCCGUGUCUCGUCGGCCUCCGCGCAUCGCUACGUGUCUCAACCCUGUUUAAAAAGAAAAUCGUUCAAAUGUUCUCGGGUGUCAAACGUGUGUCAGAUGGGCGGCCACGUUGGAUGUCCCUGUUUGUGUGAGAGCAUGUGAUAAGUUUGAUGAGGUGGACACUGAUGUGGAGAACUGUUGUGUAUUUUACUGUUCAGUAAAUAUGUAUAUUUAUUGAUAUUUCACGUUAUGUGUAUAUGUAGUGCCCUAAUGAUCGCUGAGGUUUAUUGUAUAUUUUCUUUUUGUUUGUUUGUUUGUUUGUUUUUAACGCGAGGCAUCACGUCCUUUCCAUCGCCACUCUGUGUACGUGAUUGGAGGUGUCUUUUAAAAAUCUUUGGAUUUUUAUUAACCUCUCUCUCUCUCUCUCUCUCUCUCUCUCUCUCUCUCUCUCUCUUCUGGUCAUAUUGAUAUGCAGAAGUUUAAAAGUGUUAUCGAAGCACAUUCCUCGAUUUUCUCGUGUUUUUUUUCUUAAUGCUUUCAUGUUGCGACAAGGUGUGUAUUAUACGAAGUUCAAACUGCUACACACACACACACACACACACACACACACACAUACACACACAUGUAUAUAGAGUGCAUAUAUGUGUACACAUGUGCAAUACACGCUAUUUGAGCAAUCUAUUACUGUGAUUAUAAUUCAUUAAAAUUGCUGUCUCUUUCA